rnacentral:rRNA from 1 species
GAUGAACGCUGGCGGCGUGCCUAAUACAUGCAAGUCGAGCGAACAGACGAGGAGCUUGCUCCUCUGACGUUAGCGGCGGACGGGUGAGUAACACGUGGAUAACCUACCUAUAAGACUGGGAUAACUUCGGGAAACCGGAGCUAAUACCGGAUAAUAUAUUGAACCGCAUGGUUCAAUAGUGAAAGACGGUUUUGCUGUCACUUAUAGAUGGAUCCGCGCCGCAUUAGCUAGUUGGUAAGGUAACGGCUUACCAUGGCAACGAUGCGUAGCCGACCUGAGAGGGUGAUCGGCCACACUGGGACUGAGACACGGUCCAGACUCCUACGGGAGGCAGCAGUAGGGAAUCUUCCGCAAUGGGCGAAAGCCUGACGGAGCAACGCCGCGUGAGUGAUGAAGGUCUUCGGAUCGUAAAACUCUGUUAUUAGGGAAGAACAAAUGUGUAAGUAACUAUGCACGUCUUGACGGUACCUAAUCAGAAAGCCACGGCUAACUACGUG